rnacentral:lncRNA from 1 species
UGAGUUACCAGUAUGUAGCCUUUGCCUUUUUUUUUUUUAAACUGGAUCUUGGGUCCUUUUGAUAGGAGUUCUUUAUGUAUUCAGAAAGCUACACCUUUAUUACUGUAAAUAUCCUCCCUAGUCUGGCUUACCUUUUAACUUUGUGCUAUCUUUAUUUUUAAUGUGGUCGAAAUUCUCCCAUUUUUUUUCUUUUAAGAUUUAUAUGUGUUUAAGAAAUUCAAGAAAGCCUUUUCUAACUUGAAAGGAGCAUGGGUUGUUGUAUGUAAGUGAUGAAACGCUAAAUUCUCUACCUGAAAAUAAAAUACACUGGGUGUUAGCUAGUAGGAAUUUAUUUAAUUUAUUACAUGUUUAUUUAACGAUUUUAUUUAUUCAUGAGAGACACGGAAAGAGAGGGAGGCAGAGACAUAGGCAGAGGGAGAAGCAGGCUCGAGCAGGACUCGAUCCCAAAUCCCGGGAUCAGGACCUGAAGGCAGAUGCUCAACCGCUGAGCCAUCCAGGCGUCCCAACCAACAGAAAUUUAAAUAGAAACUUGAAGAAAAAAAUAAGGCAUUGUUCUGUAUUUUUAAGAAAUAUUUUAAAGUCUCGUUUUUCACAUUUAGUUGUAUGCUUGAUGUUUAAUUUUGCAUAUAGAGUGAGGGAAGGAAUCUAACUUUGAAUCCCCCCUCUGCCACGUGGAUAGUUAUUCUGUGCCAUUUCUUUUCUGCUGACUGUGUGAUUAUGCAGCACAGUCAUGUAUCAGAUUCCUUUACCUGCCCAGAUGGACUUCACUGGCCCAUUUUUCUGCCUUUGUGCCACUGUCACACAGUUUUCCUUAUUAUAGCUAACAUGUUCAGAGUUCUGGUAGGAUGAGUCCUUACCUAGUGUUCUUUUUCAACAUCUUAGUGUUUAUUGUAGGAUCAGCUUGUCAGUUUCUGAGGCACUUGUCUUAAAUCUGUUUUUCUGAUACUGAAAUUUCUCCAUGAGGUUUCUUUAGGAUUUGGUAAAUAUUUUUUCAUUCCUUUCAGCUUUUUGUAUCAUUAAGGAUUAGGUUUUCUCUUUAAAAAAAGCAUAGAGGAAACUUUUUUUUUCUCCCUUAAAUACAUGCCUCUGUAAUGAUUGUGGAUUUUACCAUUUCUGCUGUAAUUAAAUCAGUAUUUGCUUAUAUUUUGAGACUGUUUUGUUAGCACCAUGUAUUCUGGUUUGGGGUUUUUAUAACUUGCUGGCAAAGUGUUUCUUUUUAUCAUUAAAUAAGGAUCCUCUGUAUCCCUCAUAAUGAUUUCAUCCCCUUUAAUCUGGUUUCCUUAAUUUAUUUUUUCUUUAAUCUGGUUCUGUUAUUACCUUGGGGUUUUGUUAGUAUUUUCCUGGUAUUCGCUUACUUACUUACUCCCCCUUACUCUCAACUUUUUUCUUUUUGGUCAUUAUAUUUCAAGUCUCUUUUGCAAACAGCAUGAAACUGUUAUUUUCUUUUAAAACCAAGUCUUGGAAUUACUGUCUUUUAAUAGAUAAGUUUUAAUGCAUGUAUAUUUUACUGUGAUUAUAAUUUCUUUUUUUAUUCUUGUUUCUUGCCAUGUAUUAAAUUGAUCUGAUUUUCCUUAUUUUCUCUUUCUUUUUCCUAAGAGUGUAUCUCUCUCUGUCUCUCUUUCUCUCUCUCUCUCUCUUUUUUAGAAAGAAGUUGUGAAUGGGCUGGCUGGGGAUAGAGGUGGAGAGAGAAAGAGAGAAUCCUAAGCUGGCUCCCCACUUAGCACUGAGCUUGUGGGUUCCAUCUCACCACCCUGAGAUCAUGACCUGAGCCAAAAUCAAGAGUCAGAUGCUUAACCCACUGAGUCACCCAGGUGCCCCCUCCUUUUCUGUUUUAGGAGUUACACAUUUUAUUUCUAUUCUUUCAGUAUAUAAUAUUCCAUCUACAUGUGUACCAUUAUUUUAUCAGUCCCUAAUGGUUGAUUUUUAAUUUUUGGUAUUAAAGUAAUGCUUCAAUUAGUAACUUGUAUGUAUGAUUAUACACAUGUGCUUGUAGUUCUAUAAUACGAAUUUUAAAAAUUUAAUUUAUUUAAAGAUUUAUUUAAUUUCAGAGAGAGCACACAUGCACAAGCAGGGAGGAGGGGGCAGAGGGAGAUAGAGGAUCUCAAGCAGACUCUGCACUUGAUCUCACAACUCUGGGAUCAUGACCUGAGCCAAAACCAAGAGUCUGACACUUAACCAACUGAGCCACCUAAUUGCUCGUAUAAUAUAAAUAGGUGAUCCUGAUGGUCAAAAAAGUAUGUGCAUUUUAAGUUUUGAUAAUAUAGAUAACAUCCUCUUAAGGAUAAAUUUAUCCAAUGAGCAGAUUUAAGGUUUCAUACAUGGUUACAAUAUGUUGAACAAAAGGGAAAAUAGAGAAGAGUUUUAGGAGGGGUUAUUGCUACGAUAUUAUUUCUAAGGGAUCUCCAAAUUGGGUGUUAUUUUUAAGCCUGCCUGUAGAGAUUAAAAGGACAAACUUUCAUAUAUAUUUUUUCAAUAAUGGAAUUUCUUAAAAUGAGUAUGGAGAUGGCCUUCUUGAUCUGAGGAAUUUAGGGAAAAAAGCCAAAUUGAUGCUUGAGCUGUCUGUAAUGAGUCCAUACAGGUCAACUAGAAAAACAGUCCCUUUAGUCAAGACAUACAUAUGCCAGGUACAGGUAGUCUCCGACAUCAGAACAAGCUGUAUUUUCAGUCAGUGGAGACUUGAAUACAUUUCCCCAUUCCACGUAAGUAACUGUGCAAGGCCCUGAGCUGAGUGGGAUACAGACAAGUAUAAAAUGGUAUUUCUUUCCCAUAUGAGCUUAUGAUCUAGAAAAGAGGACAAGACAUACACAGAUAGGAAACGUGGGGUACAAGCUUGAAGCACUUUUAUAGGAGAGCUACAAAGCGUACUUUGGGAGAACAGAGGAGAAAGAUCACUCUGGGUGCAGGCCUUUCCAGCUUUUCCUAUGUGCUAGGCACAGGCCAAAGGAUCAGAAAUUGUUGAGCUGUCAGAAUUUGGGAAAGGAUGAGAUUUUCCUAAGUGGAGACUGGAUAUCCUGAUUGGUGAAGCUUUGGCAGCACAGGAUGAGUGAGGAUGGCAGUGACAUUUUGUGGUUGUUUCAUCAGUCAAUCUACUCUUUCCAAGACAGCAACUGGCACCUGAUCCCCUCACUGACCUUCCCUAAUGACUGCUCUAAGCAGCAGCUGAUAGUUUGGGCAUGGCUAGUCCAAGGUUAUUCAUGUUUUUGGUGGGGAAGGAUAAUAGGCCCUGAAAUGUAAUGGCUGACACCUCAUCACUCAACCCAUGCAGCAGAACCUGUCAAGGACCUGGCACCUCAUCACUCAACCCAUGCAGCAGAACCUGUCCUUACACAGAAUAAACAGUGUGUGAACAGUCAACAGAAUUGCAUCUGUAUGUUGCAGGAUUUCUGUUGGGCGUCAUUCCUAGUUGCCAUGUCAUCAGUAGUGCUGGGUAUAAACCACUGUUUCUCAGAGUUGGCUUGUGAACCAUUUGCUUCUGGAUCACUUGGUUAGCCUGGUAAGAGGGUAGGUUCCUGAGCUUCACUACAGAAUCAGAAGCUCUGCACACGGAGCCUGGAAGCCUCCACCUGGACAUGUUUCCAAAGUAAGAAUUACUGCACUAGCUCUUCAGUAAAUGUAGAAUUUUUCAGUCAUUUGUUUGCUGUAAUGACCUUUUAUUUACUAAAAAUCACCCCUUGGAGCCCAUGGGCAUAGCGUGAAAUGUUCAUUAUAUUUAAACUUGCUUUUACAAUUGGACUUGGAAUAAUAAUGGUGUAAUUAAAUCAAUAAACAUUUGAAUAUGACAUAAAUCUGCAAGACGGUGGAUUGAGCCUCAAGGAUACACUUCUUCUAGUGCAGUCAUUUACACACCACAAUAAAUUAUGAGGCAGUGUGUUCAGACUAGCACUGCAAAGAACAGUGGAAGAAUGAUAUUUGAUAAAUCUAUCUAAAACAAAUCCAUUACUUGAGCGGUUAGGAAUAUAUGUGUUAACCAGGUGCAGACUAAUACUGGAAUACUUAGAUCCGUUAUAAUAGUAGAAGAAAGCCCCAGACCCUUUAUGUGUACAUUAUUUCCUUAUCCCUACUGCCAGGAAAGAAUUUGAAGUCCAAAGUGCAAAGCUGAACUCUUGUACCAGUUUUUUGUUGUUGUUUUCAUUGUUUUCUCGUCAAUAUUACCUGAAAACCACCUAAUGGGUCAGCUUUUUUUUUUUUUUUUUUUUUUUUGAGUGCUUCCAAUUUACUAAUUUUUUUUCAAGCUUUUUUGCCUCUUCAGAAAUUUUCCCCAAAUUUCUUUGACAAAAGUACUGGUCAUCUCUUUAUUUUUGGAAAAAUUCUAAUACUCCAUGUUUUCUAUAUAUCCUUCAAUCCCUUGACUUUGUUUUCUUUACCCCCUCUUUAAUUUUUUAGCUCCUGAGUCUUACUGGUGACAGUGAAUAGUCUCUAAUUCAGCAGGUUUCUGGGGAAGUGGGUCAGAUCCUAGGCA